CUUAGAGCCAGGAACUGGACACUGAGAAAUACUACAAGCGCUACUGUGAGCGCCUGAACUACGAGAGAAUAGAUAUGAAAACAUGGAGAGAAUCCUAUUUUCACUGGAAAAAAUUGAACGAGUCUAUUCGAAAGACGGCUCUGGCCACUCCCCGGCUUCUUCCAAGAGCACAAGACCUCAAAACCAUACAAAUAUCUGCUGUGUGUAAUGACUCGAAGAGCCCAACGCAUGGACCUCCAGACUUGUUCAAACAAGUAAAAGCCAGCGUCAAGAAGAGAAGACACCCCUUCAUGUAGAGAAUUCAAGGCGCGCAAGCAUCGAAACGCAAUUUUUACAUGUAAAAAACUUGUACAGAAC